CAGCUGCACUCAUAUCAGCGGUGCUCAUAACUCUAAUUCAAAUACAAUUCGUUUCUCACUACAUGGCCCCAGCAUUGAGAAGUCAAAUCCUAAUGUAAGAGUUCAGAAACAUUGGAAAAUGUAAAAGAGCAAAAAUAAACACUGAAAGCAUAAGGUCACACGCUUCCCCAUCCUCAUACUAUAAGUACACUUGUGAUGAUCUAAAUAUAAAGUCAUUUAUUAAGAGUUCUCCUCUUGUAUGUAUUGGAGGAAAAAGCAAAAGCUCUCAAGUGCACUCUGUGGGUAUACUGUCCCUUCCUUUAGAUUGGAUUCAGCAUACAAUAGACGCCACAAAGAAAACCAGGGCUUUAGAGAGGAGAGGAGGAGGAAGGUGGAUUAAAGAAGACGCAGCUGGACUGGCUGAGAUGACAAACAUGUCUUUUCGCCGAUGAAGUAUGAGAUAAGGCUUAGUGAUGAUGGGCAAGGCGGGACUGAAAAAGGUUCAAUUCCAAAUGCAGAUUUGUGUUUGGUAAGAUAUUAAGAGUGAUUCACUACCAUAACAUGGUGUUUAAAAUAUAGAUUUAUUGCAUUAGUCAGACACACCUAAACAAUGGGAUUUGGUGAUCAAUAUUCUUUGGCAUGCACACACCUUCAACAGAUUCUGACUACGUUUAUACGUACCCUCUCCAUUUACAAAAAAAAAAAAACUGUGCACAAACCAUUACAUUUUUAGAACCAUUUUCGUUCACAUUAACCCAUGUUUAUAUGCCGUCAAGAGCAUAUCAAACAUGGGUGGCAGUGUCGCGGAAAGCUUAAGCCUGAGUUAGCCAAUUAGAAUCCCACAAAGCAGCAACAACAACGUCCCUUCCUUCUUUCCUGCACAUAAUCUGCUGUUUUUCUUCAUUUACAUCCAAAUGUGCAAAUGGAUUCUUCCAAAAUCUCCACUCUGGCCACAGUUUUUAAAAAGCAUUGUUUUCAAGGGCAAUUUCUCUGUUUGCGUCUAAAUGAAAGGUGCAAACGAUGGUUAAUGUCUCCGUUUUUAAAAUUAACCGGGUACAUAUAAACGGGGCCUUAGACAGGCCUUAGCAUUCUGCUCAUGUUCCCCUGUUCCGGCUUUGGACUGGGAGUUCAGCAAUAUAAAUGCAUUGUGGGAAACUGUGUUCAUCAAUUGUUUGGGAACGCAACUUGCUAGAUCCACCGAGAGGCCUCAAUUACAUUUCCAUCUAUAGAAAUGCUUGUGAAGUUAUAGUAACUUUAAGAUGCCGUUAGAGGUGAGUUCAAAUGAUGCAAAUGAGGCAGCGCAGUUAUCAAGAGUUAAACUGGUUAUACGCAUGAAUAAUGUGAUCCAUUCGACAGGUAACUUGAUACAUUUGCCUAUUUACAGGAGUUGAAAAAUCUAAACCCACGAGAAUCAUACGAUAGCCAAUUAGCAUGGAGAAUCCCUGGUGAUGUAGGUCAGGUGGACAAGUGGAAGUUCAUUCACCUGGAUCAUGAGAGAGUACAUGGUUACCUGAGCUGUAGGAUACAACUAAUUUUUACUAUUGAAACAGGAAUAAAUAAAGAGCGCAUCUCAAGGAAAAUGAGUGAGGGGGUCAGAUUAUCAGGUAAAUUAUACAAACACAACAAAUCCUCACAGAAUGGUCAACCUCAACCUCCAUGUCGAUUCGCUUUAGGCCCACAUUGAGGCCGUUCUGCUCAUGGAUUCACUUUGCAACCUGUCCUCUCUUAGAUAAAGAAACAGCUCACAUCUAUUCAUAAGAUGUUGUCUCUCAUCAUGUCAGCCUUAUGCUGUCCAUUUCCUGCGGUGUACAGAACAUAUGCUCAGUACUUAGGCUCCUGUUGGACUCUUCAGUUAACAGAAGCUUAUAAAGUACAUUCCCAACAUGGAGUACUGUAUCUUUAUCACCAAGUUUGAGCAGUACGUUUUCAGAGUAACACAAUGGUUACUCUGUCUGAUGGUGUCCUGGGAUUGUCCUCAGAACUCUCACUGACCCAGCUAUUUUAAUGUACCUGAGUGUGAUUGUACAUGCAUGUGUGUUGUGCUUCCAGUGGGGAGUGUUGGGGUGGAUCAAAAGGCCCUUGAAAUGUGUUUUGGCUGGCCAUGACAGAUCAGUGGGCGACAAUCCACAAAAGCGGCCCCUGAGGACCCCCGCGGAUGACCCCACAUCUAGACUGAAUGCGACCCCCUAAUCCAGUGUGUCACCUCACCCACCCGGGCCCUUCACCUCCUGAUGGAGAGAUGAAUCAAAGAGAAAGGGCCUCUCGCUGCCCUCGCUCCCUGAGAAAAUACAGUAGUGGAGAGGGAAGAGAUGACCUUAUAAGAAGUAGCAGAUGAGAUCAGAUGGUGAGAUGGCAGGUCAGAGAAAGUGGAGGAGGUAAAAGUAAAAAAAAAAAAAAAAGGAGGAGAAAAAAAACGACGGAUAGAGAAAGAGAGAUUAAGAGAGAGAAAGAAGUGGGGCAGAGAAGAGGCAGCGAGGGCAAACAGUGAGAGCAGAGCGGUGUAGUGUGGAGAGCAGGGACAGAGAGGGAUUAAGUGGUCAUGCAGGGCUACUGUGUGUGAGUGUGUGUAUAUCUGUGUGUGUGUGUCAGUGUGUGUGUGUCUGGUUGAGUAGAGAGAGGCUACAAUAGGGUUAUUUUGAUGUCACCAAACACAGUCCAUGCACUCUGCAGUUCCAUGAACGCACAAAAACACAAUUUUCUCUUAUACUUAAAUUAAUUACCUCGGUCAUGAACUUUAGCCCGCAAAGUUGAACGCUUUCAAACCCUUAUCAAAAACACAACUCUCAGCAAACUCAAAUUUAAUUUAAUUUUAUUUGUUUGUGAGAUAUAAUUGUUGCUGUUCUUGACUUGCCAGCAGAAAAGAAAAGUACUUUGGCAUUAUUAUAUUUUCUUCUGCUUUCAGGGAGAUAGCUCUGGUUAUGUUUGCAGUUUGGAUAGCAUUGGUCUAUUAUGACAAAGACUCUUUAAAGAGACCCGAGCACACUAAAUACACACCAUCAUAAUCAGAGGUGAGCCGCUAGCAGAGAUAUUAACUUUGAUAACAAUCACUUCCAUCCAUAAACGUUUCCAGCAACGACUUCAUGUCAUCCGUAGGUUAAGGUCACUAUCUGUUGCCCCUCAUCUUUUGCUGUUACUGUACAAAAGCAUUAUCCAACCCAUUCUGUUGUACUGCUCACCAUGUUACUUUACCAUACUGUCCAUGCCAAAUAGAAACAAACUGUACAAUAUCACCCGUAUUGCUUCCAAGGUCAUCGGACUUCCCACACCCACCCUUGCUGAUCUGAACAAUAAGGCCAUCACCCGCUUGGCACUCUCAAUAAUAAGCGACAAUUAGCAUCCUCUGCAUUGUCACUUUGACCUCAUGCCAUCAGGCCGCAGAUACAGAUUACCCAGGUGGUAGAGGGUUCAGUUCAGUAAGAGUUUCAUCCCAACAGCCAUCGCCACAGUAAACAAGCUUAAACUGCCUCACCGCUAGGAUGGUCUCUGUGUAUUCUGGGGGGGGGGGGGGGGUUCUCAUGGCCUGUCCUUGUAAUAUGUUUUGUGUCAUAUGGUAUGUGUUGUCUGUACUCCUGUUUUGUGUUAGAAUAAGACCUGUGAAAGCAAAUUUCCCCCUGGGGACAAUAAAGAUUAUUAUUGAUUAUUAUUGAUAUUAUUAUAAAUUAGAGAAUUCCGUUCAAAGUUCACCAAAGUUAACAUUAACACCUGCAUGUAUCUACCGGUCAUAAACACUCUGCAGCAGCAUGAAUCCAAAGAAUCCUUGCAUCAGGGCCAGGUUUCCUACAAACUACUCAAUAAAUCCAGUCUUCCACCCAUUUCCUCCAACCAAACAAACAACUUUGCUCUGUUCUCCAACCAGUAUUACCAGUAUAACCAGUGACCAAUAUGGAAGGCUUCUGUGGAGAGAUCACAUCUUAUCUUGGUCUUGGAAGUUUUUUGGGGGCUGAUAUUUAGCACAUGUCUGAUUAUGUUUACUUGCCUUUUAUUUUGCAGAAUGCCAAUAUAACUAAUUGUUUGUGCUUCUUUGGCUCUGCUCCCAGUGUGUUUAUUACAUUGGAUUUCUUAUUUUGCACCGCUCUGUCCCACCUAAUGUCCUGCCAGCAACACUAUCUAAUUGACCAGACAUCACUUGACUGUGUCACACAGAUGUACUGGAAGUUAACUGUUAUCUCCCGCGUGUAUAUCUGUUUUGAUUAAAGACUUACUGACUGCAUUUAUAAAAGUUAAGGGUUGAAGUUUGUGAUAUUCCAAAUGUUUAAUUUUGACAGGAAGUUUUUCAUAUCCUGAAUAUCAGCCCUGAAUAUUGGUUAUCAGUCUCAUGAAUUACCCAUGAUGAGUGUCAGCAUCAGCCCUGAAAAAAACUGUAUCGGUCUCACCCUUUUAUGAGGACUGAAGGUAUCCAACCCUUCAUCACAACUGGCAUGAUGGAGUUGGAAAGAAGAGGGCCUGGGUUAGAUGAAACCUGAACAUGCUGUACUGCGCCUGCGAUUUCUGGUCCACAUUUCUCCUUCUCAGACCCUGCAAAGGUAUGAUUAUUGUAGCCGAAGUUUGAGAAACUUUUCCUCUCACACGUCAUGCAGAUAUAAUUCUCUUUUGACUCCACCAUUUUGUUCAUUUAUGCGUUUAACUUCUGCAUCUAGAAAGUAGUUGGAAUGAUCUUGAUUGCUAAAUUUUCUGCAGAGAGGCGUCCAAGUUGUGGCCUUGUUUGACAUUCACUUUACCCUGUUAGCUAGGGUAAAAUAAUUAAUUUUCGAAGCAGAUAAGUUCACGCACCUCAUGUCUGAAUGAUGGAGGCUAUAAUUUUACUUGUAGUUUGUUGUCCCCAGCAGUAGAAGCCCCCUGCUCGAUUUUAGACCCUGCUGGAGGCAAAAUGCUGUAAAAGGGGUGACUGUGGCUUGGUGGUAGAGGUUGGCAGUUGGAGUUACUCGCUGCGGUCAGUGGUAUGUUAAUACACCUGAAUGGGAUUAGUCCAUACGGAUGAUCCUCUGCUACAGUAUAACAGCCUCUGCCAAUAGUAUGUGAAUGCGGUGUGAAUGUGUAACUUAGGAGUGGUACACAGGUCUUUUGAGGGGUUGAAAAGACAACACCGCCACUAUACAAGCACAAGUCCUUUGCCAAAACAGCAUUUUACUGAUGGUGGCCUUGAGGAGCUUGUUUUUAAGUUGUUGUUGUUUGGAGUUCAGGAUUCCUUGAACUAACCCAUUGAAUAUACUCUACAAUGACCGAUUGUUCUGAAUGGAGCAUGUCUUUUGUACUCAAACAGUGAAAAAGGAGAGGUUGAUGUGGGUCAGAUUGCUUUAAAACGGACAGAUCUGUGUAGUAUGGUGAUGUGUUAUGAACAGAGAGGAGACAAUCCUUCAGUCAAGCUGCUAUUAUCCCAGCUUUAGACGAAAAUAUUUGUUCUGUGAAUAAGUGGGUGACAGAGAACAGCGAACCCUGAACUACAUGACACAUGUGCCAAAAGCAAGAAUACACACUCCACAUACACACAACAAAGGCAAUAACAAAAACAGAUAAAACGUAGAGAAAGAAGCAAACAUUUUUUUCAUCAUUUUCACUGAUUUUAUUGUUAAGGGUUUCUUCUAAGCAUUUCAAAACAUUUCUGAAGUUUCCUAACAUUUUGGCCUCAGAGCUCUUCUUUUUUUCAAGGACAAUAUCUCUGCAGUCAAACAUCAGUGCCAAAUGGUUAACUUAAAAUGAUAUAAAUCAAUCUUUUUAGCUUAAUUCCUUAAGGCUAAAAAAAAACUGUUGUGUAUUCAAUUAAAAAAAUCAUAAUUAAUACAAAUAAAAAUAAUAAAAAGGAAAAAAAUGACAGACACAGUUGAAGAUUCUGGGGAGGCUCUUUGGAUGGCCAAUCAGAUUUCAAUUUGGGUCUUUUCCGCCCUUCUGAAUCCACUCCUGAUUCAUAGUAAAUGUUUGACUUCAGACAGACAGACAGACAGACAGACAGACAGAUCGAUCGAUCGAUCUUCAAUUGCUUAAACUGUUUGCAGAGAAAAUGAUAUAACAGUUGAGUCUGAAUUGUGGCCAUGACUCCUUUUAGGAUCAUAGGAACUUCAAUUCUGAGAAACAAGGUUGACUGAACUUUAUGAAAGAGCAGCACUAAAUCUCUUCAAUGACAUCAGUAAAUCCUUGAGGUUACGAGGUUUGGGCUUAAUUCCGGCGCACAAAUUAAAAAGGAAAAAUCAUUUCAGGCUUGCAGUGGUAAUCAGUUUGUAAGGAUAUAAAAAUGUUUUUGAAAGUUGGACAACUCAAAAGAUUUUUUAAGAAAUGUUCAAGUUCAUGUAAGAUCUUCAAACAACGAUUACAUUCAUUUAGACAAAAGUUUCUUUAAUCUUUGAGUUUCUGUGACCGGAAAAUCAAACCAGCAGACUGAAGUGUCAUGAUUUACUCAGGGGCAAACUUGAGCCGAAACCUCUGAAUACAGUCUCUGUUUUCAUCCUCCACAUCAAUACAGCUCAUUCAUGUCAGUUGAUAAAAGAAUGUGAAGAUAGCAAAAUAAACACAACUUCUAAAAAUUAUCUUUUUAACAAGGACAACUCUUGUGAAACCAGUCUGAAAAAGUUGCAUUAAAAAAAAGAGAGAGGCCUUGGGAAGAUCUGCUGUUGCUCAUUUGGGGUAAGACUGUGUGGAGACACACCCACCCAUCAUCAAAUCUGCUGUGUGUUGAGGAGAGUAGCUGCAAGAGUGCAGCCUAGUGGUAUUUGUGUGUUUGGUGUGUGUGUGUGUGUGUGUGUGUGUGUGAGAGAGAGUUUCUGUCUAGAGCGGUGAAGAUGGCUGCUGUAAUCAAUACAUUUGAUGGGACUUCAGUGUCACGGUCUGCAGGGAUAUCUAAAGUGGUUGCCAUGGUUACUCUCUGUGCAUACUCACUCAUGCAAACACUCAAAGAAAACCUAUUUAGAAGGAACAUAUGCUCACUUCUCGAGCACAGGCAAAACAUACACUCACAUAUUUACAUGCAGUAUGAAAUGAAUGUCCGCGCACACCUCUUUCUCUGCACUGCAACACACACCCCUCGGACACUCCAGCAACUGUCAGAACAAAGUCACACACAAACACACACAUACAUACACAAACACGAACACACACACACUGUUGUGACCUCAGAGAGCAGGCCAGCUGUGUGUGUGCUGGAGCAGUAACCCCGGCGUUAAUUAUAAAUCAAUGGGCCAACUGUAAACGCACACAGAGUGCAUCUCUGGUGCACAUGACUUCUCCCAUGCAUGUCAACAUCCAUAGGGUACAUAAAGCCGUUUAAAGUGUCGAGGCCUCUGCAAUAUUCAUGGCUGAUUAUAACAGAUGGUAGACACACACAGUUGCAACACAGUGCACUGAUACAGGACAACGAUACAGACACAGAGUGAGAGAGCGGAGGGUGAGGCCCAGGGAUCAUAAAAUGAUAACCACCGCUGCCAGAUGGCUUUAAAGAUCAAUGUAAGGGGAGUGCAAUUUUAAAACACUUAAAGUUUGUCCACUUCUACGCAGAAUUUAAUCAAAAAUACACGUUCACAGUUUUGUCAAUAACCUUUAAUGUGUCAGGAUGAAGAUUUCGCUGUUCUUCUCAGGGUUUUAAAACAUCAAAUGGAUUUGAGGAUGGUAACAUGACACCUUUUUUUAACUUUUUUCUCUGCUCCAUAGAUAACUCUGCUCCUGAAAACAUGACAAAGGACAAAAAAAUCAUAUAUUUCUCAGAUGGAUAUUGUACAUGUAAAUCAGUCUGUGAGGCUACAAGAAAACUACAGAUACUGGCACUUGUAAUACAAGUAUAGUAAUUGAAGCUAAGCAAUAAUAUGAUAUGCAGCCUCUCUGUCAUGAUCCAUAUGCUGCAAUAGUUUAAGACUCAAGGGAGAACUAAAUAGUUACAUAAAUUACAAUGUUACUGAGCACUGUCAUGCUUUGAGUGCUCUAGAAUUAUUGAUGAAUAACCUGAACACCAUUAAAAGUGUAUUAUUGAUAUGCUUGCUAGGUCAACUUUUUAGCACUAAGUUUCGUUUCAACAUUUCAGCAGAGGAGAUCAUACAGGAUUGUAUCUCCCCUAGCCUGAUGGUAUUUGAUCAGUGACAUUAAGACUCCUUUUUAAGUAUGUUUGUGUUUACAUCAGGGAAUGUUUACUGGUGUCACAACAGUACUGCGUUUUCAUGCACAGCUUAAUUGGACUGAGCUACUAAUUCGUUUUGUUUGCCGAAUCGAACUUCUCUCCUUAUCCGCUUAUACUUGAAGCUGAGAAAAUUGAAUUAUUGACGUGAACGUGUCCUCCUUCCCAAAACCAGGGGGUGAUAUGGGUCUUUUCAGCAGGGCUGUUUCCGACCCCAUACAACUGUCAACAACAACAGCAGGUCCAUGCUAGACGUCAGAGGUGGCUACAACUGCUGCUGGGCAUUUUCAAGCAAGAAGAUGGAGCAUCGUACAGCAAUGUUUUUGUUGUAUAUGAUGUACGCGUUACUUUUUUGGCAGACGAGAUACACGCUACUCCUCUUCUCUGAAGUUUUUGUUCCGGGGGCGUGGCGUACAUACACAUGCAUUGUCCGAUCAUACUCCGAAAAUCGAAUUCCAAUCGCAUUAUCUGGGUGUCUUAAUCAGAGUUGUCCGACUCCAAUCAGAGUCCUUAAACUCUGAUUAGAGUCAGACUAAGGUGUUUACAUGGAUUCAGUUGUCCGGUUUUAAUCAGAGUAAGGCAAUAAUUCAGUUUUGUCGAGUGUCAUGUAAACGUACUGAGUGUCAAGGUGGUCAGAAUAGAAAAGUAUCUUGUUUUCAAAAAAUUAAUGCUUUACACACAGAUAGCAGCUGAUCAGUUAGAGAAGUACAGAGAUGGAUCUGAAGCACUCCGGGACACGUUUGACUGUGGUGAUGCAAACAAAAUCAGGGAUUACACUACCAAACCAUACCAAAUUAUACCCUUCCAAACCAGACCACUAGGUGGAAAUGCACCAUUUGUGUGCUUCUAAUAAACAAAUAAAUAAAUGAAUAAAAAUGGCGCUCAGCCAAGGAGAGUCUGCUCUUUUUGGCUACCGUUCGAGGCAGGUGACUUUACGGUGGUAAUUUGUUGAUUCCUUUCAUAAAUGCUCCUGUCGUUGUCACAAAUGAUCAAGUCUGUCCUUCAUUUCUAACAUCAAGCUAAGUUUGUCAGUUGUGUUUACUACUUUCCACAAAGCUCUGUUUCUUUUGUAUCCUGCGUCAAUCAGCUUGCUUCUCAGUUGGCUGAUGUUUCUCAAGAGCUGUUGGCUGAUUCUCUAAAUACAACUGGGUUUCUGAUCAGAAAUAUUAAACAUGUUGAAUAUUUCCAAUUUCAAAUCAGAGCAAUCCUGAUUUUCUUCUGAGCAGAUCAGAGAAAGUAAAACCACUUUUAACGUCCCUCAAAUCACAGACAAAUCUGGCAUGAUAAUCUUUUAAACAUAAUUAAUUUAAUCUCUUUUCUGCCCCAGACAUGUUCUCAAAGUGUUUUAAAACAGCUUCUUGGUCAUUUCAGAUUGUUUUCUGACAAAAGAAAAAAAAAAACUAACAAAAAAAAAAAAAAUGUCUUAACUGAUUCAAUCUCUAAUAAAUGUUAGGUUGUGAUGGUUUGAUUGAGGCAUCUAUUUUUAACUACAGCUGUCAAAGUAUGUAGAGUGUCUGCAUGUCAACACUUCACAUUGCAUGCUAACACUUACACACACAUCAAUCAUGCAUACAGAAGCAUGCAUGCAACCACUCUCACUGUAACCUCAGCAUAUGCAGCUUGUCUUUAGAGCAACAUUAGACAUCAGCGGGGAGGACAGGAGCGAGGGGAGGGAGGGACGUGAUGUGAUGGAGUGCUGACGGAUGGAGGUGAAGCGAGGGAGAGCAAUCAAGUGGCUCUACAAAUUAUAUAUAACGACUUGUGCAAUUAUGGGUCUAUAUUACUAAAUGUAGUCUGUCACAACAGUGAAGGCUCCACAAGAGGAUAAGACUGAGGCAAACAACAUGUGGAUCACGCAACAGAGGACGACAAGGAGGAAGAGAGGGAGAGGAUAUGUCAGGAAACUAUAUUGACUUAAGUUGAAAAUGAAAAAUAGAGAGAGUAUUCUGCUGCGUUUAUAGUAAAAGAAUAAAGAAGGAGACUUUCAGAAACAAACUAAACUUCCCUGCAGUGGAAGCUGCAGAGAAAUACAUUAGGAGAUGAGUUAGGUUACCAUAUUUCGCCAAAGUUAAAAGGGAUUUAAAAGGUGGGGAGAUAUAUCAAGAUUGCUGGAUUGGAACUUGGAACCUUCCUGGAGGACUGAAUAAUACCGGAAUUAAUGUAGGUCUUAAGUUUUUGCUGUGAUCUACCCAUUAAUAUAGCCAUAUUAAAGACGGUUGAUUGGAAAAUUCGAAAUAUAGAGAUAAGAUCAGGCGCCUGGUGUAAGUGCAUGAGCAACGUGAAUAACCAUCAUGUGUUUGACCUCGUGUUAGUUAAGAGGUGCACAAUUAGUGCGCAGGGAGGUUUGAUUAAGUCACUUUGGGCCUGAUCAACUAAAGGUUUACAUGUACAAAAAAAACAUGCAAAUGAGAAAAAUAUCACGCCCCAUCGAUUUAGCGUGUUUGCCUUCGUCAGUAUGCAGAAUGUAUGUAGAUUAUUAGAACGUGCAAAAUACUGAGAGGAGGAGAUCCAUAUGUCAAUCGUUAGCACAUGCAAUGUGAUUUAUCAAACCCCUAGACUGAUUGUGGUUGGUGGGGUUGUGGUUUGCGUCUAUAUUUAGCACAUUUGAAAGACAGGUGUAAACUGGCACAGCGUUAUGGAAUGUCGUCUGUCCAGCAAUGCCAUCUUUGAGCUGCUGGAUGACCUAAGGGCUGAUUUUUCACUUCAACGCCUACUUACAGCCCGUGUAAUUGUUUUGUUUACACACGUACUUUAACGCUCCUUAUGUGGGAUCUUAUUAGAUCCGGCCCUGUGUUGUUAAAUGGUGUAUUUUUGGACAUAACAUGGAUUAAAUGGAUCUCUGCUCUCUUUCCCUAUUAGAGCCAGGUGUUCCUGAAGGUAGCUACUUUUGGGGGACCAUGUCCAUCAGCUGGGUCUCAGCUGCACUGUAGCACAGACUCUAGGCAGAAUAAUGUCAAAGUGUUGGUCUUAAAAAAUAAUACAAGUAUUUCACAGUCUAGAGAAGUGAUUACUUUUUACAGUCUGAUGUGUGCCAAAAAAAUGUAGAGGUUCCCAUCCAAAUUGUGGUUGUCAAUCCACUGUCUGAAAAUACAAAUACUCUGACUGCAGCUUGUUUGGAGUAUCAGCUGACUGACACAACUGGGCUGUUGUUCUUGUCUUGAAGUUCCUCUUAGCAGCUUUGUAAAAAGCACAGAGGAGGAAAGUUUUAAAUUUAUUAAGGGGACUCCUUGUGGUGAGAUAAGAUCCUUGGUGGAUACAGGCCCUUGUAUAAAUAAAAGAUUAGAUAAAGAGAAGCUGAAAUAACGAUUUGUCAAUGCUGGUGUUGUGCAGUGUCAGUGGUCGAGGGUCAUUCAGGGCAGAGAAAUUACUCUUUAAGGGGCUUUUGUAGAUUUGGCUGUUACGCUUAUCAGUGAUAAUUACAUUUCAUUAACCAAGUUAAUGGUUGAAUCUGCUCUCUUUUCAUUUCUUCUACAGACCACCUUUGUAAAGUGAAUUAAUGAACACUGAGGAGGCAGAAAAGGACUGAAGAGGCCAAAGCCCACAGGAGAUAUCUUACGUGUGCAUAUGAAGAAUCACCAACAACUUCUGCUGGAGUGCCAGGUGGUGUUUAUCUUCAUUCAGCUUAGGCUGACUCUAUAAUCAAACAAUAGCUCUGAGGUCAAGCUUUAUAUUCACGCUCACAUUACCAAGUGGGCAUACACGUACAAGAACACUUGAUUUUACACUGCCAUAUUGAUUUCUGCUGGUUUAUUUCCUUAAAUAACCCCAGUACCCUCAAGCACAGAUGCAUGUGUGUUUGUGUGUAUAUGUAUGUGUGUGUUUUAAGUGAGUAUUUUAUGAAAAGGGGGUGUACUUAUACAGACAAUUUGCACUUACACAUGCAUAAAAACCAACAGGGUACUUGUACAUACCUUCAAAACCAGAUACCUCUUUUAGACAUGGUCCUCAUCUUUUUCUGUACGCAUUCAAAGCAUCUUAAAACUGCGCAUUCACAUUAUUUUGGAAGUAUAAUUUAAUGAUAGUGUCUCUCAGGGUGGCACAGUGGUGUAGUGGUUAGCACUGACGCCUCACAGCAAGAAGGUUCUGGGUUCGAAUCCGGGUCAGGGUGUUUCUGUGUGGAGUUUGCAUGUUCUCUCUGUGUCUGUGUGGGUUACCUCCGGGUACUCUGGUUUCCUUCCACAUCCUAAAAACAUGCAGAAGUGGGGUUAGGUAUUUGGCCACUUUCAUAUUGCCCGUAGGUGUGAGUGUGGAUGGUUGUUCGUCUCUGUAUGUCAGCCCUGCGAUGAACUGGUGACUUGUCCAGGGUGUCCACUGCCUUCACCCGAAGAUGCUGGGAUAGGCUCCAGUCCCCAUGCGACCCCCAAUGGGAAUAAGCCGUAGAAAAUGGAUGGAUGGAUCGAUAGUGUCUCUCGAAUGUCAUUAAAACCAUUUAAAAAUUUGUGUCGAAACAUCCCCAUUGUUUGUGAUUGUUAAUCUUAACAUUUUGAAUAAAAGUAACACAUUUAACAAAGUUUAUACUUCUUUGCUAUCAGAUUGAUACACAGUGGUGUUAAGCUGUUGUUGACUUGUGCCCACAUCAUGCAUGCCUGGGUUCCAAUCAGGUCCUGCUGCUUCCUCCUGCUGUCCAAAAACAUGCCUGGCAGUUUAACUGGUCUUUCGGUAUUACAUAUUUGUGUGUAGGUAUGGCUGUCAGUCCAUAUGUUAGUCAUGUGAUAGACUAGUGACCAGCCAAUGACUGCGAGGAUGGGCUUCAGCGACCCAUGAACCCAAAUUCAGAUAUUUGCAAAAUUAUCAGUUUUUCCUUUGCAAACACGCUUUUCUUUAAGCGUGUGUGUGUGUGUGUGUGUGUGUGUGUGUGUGUGUGUGUGUGUGUGUGUGUGUGUGUGUGUGUGUGUGUGUGUGUGUGUGGUUUUAAGGGCACACAUCCGUUCCCAUUCUUGGUUUCUGUAAAUCACUGAAAGAGGAAGAAUCAUGACUGACUGGUGGCUACCAACGCCGUGACAGGUUCACAUAAACGCUCUGAGUUAUUUUAAACAAAGACGUGGACAAAGGAAACCACCAACUUAGCAGUAAGUCAACUCAACCAGCUCUGCGCCUGACCAUGUUUCCUUUAUGUCCACACACACUUCCUGAUUCAACACAGGCUCAAACACACACACACACACAUACACACAGAGCGGUGCAGUGCAGGCGACCACAGAGUCAACAGACAACUGACAGAAAGAAAGCAGGAGAGAGAGGGAGGCAGGGAGGAGAGAUAAGGAAAGGGAAACACACCCUGUAUAAAUCACUCUAUCUGACAGCAUGGGGGUGGGUGGGUGGGGGGGUGAGAAAGAGAGAGAGAGAAGGCAGUGGAUGAAGUGAUGGAGAGGAUCUCUUCACCACAUUAUUCAGAGUUAUGUAAUGUACUGUAGCACAGUGGUAGGAGUCAUUGUAAACAAAUGCAGCCUCACAUACAUUUAUGCAUCCACGACAGACGAGUCACAGUGGGCGUCCACAGUGAAAAUGUAUUCUCUCUGCGUGCUCUCUGUACUCACGCAAAUUCACACAUACACUCUCCUGUAUUUCUGUUAUAUGUAUAGAAAUAUAUACAAGAAAUGCACAGGAGGCAUUUCAAAGUGGAGAGAAGGGGAGGGAAAUAAAAACCCUGACAGCUCAUGAAGAAGAAACAGAAGAAAGAGGAAAAAGAAGAGGAUUAAGAUGUGCCGUUUGUAAGAGAGAGGAAAAGAAAAACAAGAAAAUAGACUGAGGCUGCUGAAAAGAAGAGAGAGAGAAAAGGUAAAAGAAAACACAACAUCAAAAACUGAAGGAGGGGAAAAUAAGAGACAGGAAGAAACAAAAGGGGGAAAAGGAUUCAAAGGGAACGAUAGAAAAGGAAACAAAAAAAGUUUAAGGACUAAAAAAAGGGAAUACAGAACAUAAGGAAAAGGGAAUAGAAAAAGUGAAAGAACAAAAGAGGAGGGAAUGAAAAUGAAUACAAAAUAAAGAAAAUCAAAAAAGAAAAAAGGACGUGAAUGCAAAGGUCAAAUAAAACAAAAAUGAGAGAGAAAAAGUGGAAACAGAGUUAAAAGAGAAAGCAAGGAAGAAAAACUGAAGGAAGGGAAGAAAGAAGAAAUUAAAGAAAAGGGUAAGGAAAAGAAAGAAAGAAUGAGUGAAAAGAAGACAACAGGAAGAAAGUCGAUGAAGAAAGGAAAGAAGAGAAAGAGAAGCAAGAGAAAGGAAAACUGGAAGAAAGGAAAGUAAGAGAGCAGGAAAAGGGAGAAGAGCAGGAAGACAAAGACAGAAAAGGGAAAGGAAAAGGGGAAGAAAAGAAAGGAUAUGGCAUGAAGAAAAGAGAGGAAGGAGAUGGCUGGAAGAAAGGCAAAAAAUGCAGGAAUAGAAGGAGAUGAAAAUAAAAGAGGAAGGAAAAAAUGAAAAGGGAAGAAAGGAAAUAAUGGAAUUGAAGAGAGGAAAGGAAUUAGGAGGGUAAGGAAAAAGAUAAACUCUGAUAGGAAGUCAGAUCUUCCUUAUUUUGGCUUUAUUCUAAUAAAUUCCAAACCUAAUAUAAAAAUCUCAUUAUUUUCUGUUAAGAGGUGGCUCUUUUACUCUGUCGUAAAUGUGUUUGAAAAUAGAAACAAACACCACCCUCUACAUUUUUGAGACAACAUGUUUCUGUCACACUUUUCAUUUUUCAUCUGAGAAUUUUAUUUUAUUUUAUUUUUUUUGAAGUUGCGAAUGUUCCCAUCUCAUUACGACCAUGUUAUUAACACCUUUACUAUUAAACAGAAACCACUGGACUACAGGAAUAGUUUGGUCUGCAGUCAGAAGGUGAGGGAACAUUUAUCACGUUGCUUCAGCCUUUAAGGAAGGAAAUGCAAUUCACAAAGGUAGAAGAGAGAGCAGGAAAAUGUAACAUGGCUGAUUUUAUUUGGUGAAAAGGACUUUGCAUGAGCCCGAAUGGAAAAGCAAGAAAACAAGAAAAAAAAAAGAAAGAAAGAAAAAUGAUAAAGAGGACACGUUUAAAAAAAGUGAAUAGUGCAAAGAGCAAGGUAGUAAGAGUAGACGAGUUAAAGUGCCAAAAA